rnacentral:rRNA from 1 species
GAUGAACGCUGGCGGCGUGCCUAAUACAUGCAAGUCGAGCGAACACACAAUGAGCUUUCGCCUUUGCCGUUAGCGACGGACGGGUGAGUAACACGUAGAUAACCUACCUAUAUUACUGGGAGAACAUCGUAAAACCGGAGAUACUACUGGCGCAUACAUUGAACCGCAUGGUUCAAUAGUUAAAGACGGUUUUGCCGUCUCAUUUAGCUGAAUCCGCGCCGCAUUAGCUAGUUGGUAAGGUAACGGCCUACCAAGGCGACGAUGCGUAGCCGACCUGAGAGGAUGAUCAGCCACACUGGAACUGAGACACGGUCCAGACUCCUACGGGAGGCAGCAGUGGGGAAUAUUCGGCAAUGGGCGAAAGCCUGACCGAGCAAUGCCGCGUGGGUGAAGAAGGUCUUCGGAUCGUAAAACUCUGUUAUUAGGGAAGAACAAAUGUGUAAGUAACUAUCGACGUUUUGACGGUACCUAAUCAGAAAGCCCCGGCUAACUACGUG